rnacentral:rRNA from 1 species
AUUGAACGCUGGCGGCAUGCCUUACACAUGCCAGUCGAACGGUAACGGGCCUUCGGGUGCCGACGAGUGGCGAACGGGUGAGUAAUACAUCGGAACGUGCCCGAUCGUGGGGGAUAACGAGGCGAAAGCUUUGCUAAUACCGCAUACGAUCUACGGAUGAAAGCAGGGGACCGCAAGGCCUUGCGCGGACGGAGCGGCCGAUGGCAGAUUAGGUUGUUGGUGGGAUAAAAGCUUACCAAGCCGACGAUCUGUAGCUGGUCUGAGAGGAUGAUCAGCCACACUGGGACUGAGACACGGCCCAGACGCCUACGGGAGGCAGCAGUGGGGAAUUUUGGACAAUGGGCGCAAGCCUGAUCCAGCCAUGCCGCGUGCAGGAUGAAGGCCUUCGGGUUGUAAACUGCUUUUGUACGGAACGAAAAGCCUUCUUUUAAUACAGGAGGGUCAUGACGGUACCGUAAGAAUAAGCACCGGCUAACUACGUG